UACGUAGGGAACAAGCGUUGUUCGGAUUUACUGGGCGUAAAGGGCGCGUAGGCGGUGUUGUAAGUCACUUGUGAAAUCUCCGGGCUUAACUCGGAACGGUCAAGUGAUACUGCAGCACUAGAGUGCGGAAGGGGCAAUCGGAAUUCUUGGUGUAGCGGUGAAAUGCGUAGAUAUCAAGCGGAACACCUGAGGUGAAGACGGGUUGCUGGGCCGACACUGACGCUGAUGCGCGAAAGCCAGGGGAGCAAACGGG
rnacentral:rRNA from 1 species